UCAGUUUCUCUCUGGCUGUCGUGGAAAGCAGACGUGCGCUCCCCGCGCUCGCUCAGUUUCUGGCUGGCUGUCGUAGAGAGCAGACGUGUGUUCCCCGUGCUCGCUCAGUUUCUGCCUGGAAGUCGGUGAGAUUGAAGAAGUCGGUGAGUCGGUGAGAGGAAGAGCUAUGAUGGUGGCGCCAUCUGGUGUGAUGUCUUGCAACUAAGUGGCCACCUGUCGUCGAUCUCUGCAACUGCUGGGUGACAACUACCAACAUGGCGGGCGCUGGUCACUCGGGUGUUGAGGAGCGGCUUCUUCGCCGCGGCAUCGUUGAUUUUCGAAUAAAUUGUUUCUCUCCACUCUA